rnacentral:misc_RNA from 1 species
UUAAUUUCUUUUUUUUUUUUUUAACUAUCCUUUAAUUCAAUAUAUUUUUCAUCUUAAGAGAUCUCUGUCACUCAAGUAUCCAUGCCGUGUCCCAUGUCGUGUUCAGUAGGGCAAAAUGAAGAGUCAGAGUUUUAGAGUGUUGGCCUAUGGAUAAGCCCCUGUACUCCACAUGGACAAAUUAAAACAGAUAUCAUUCCUUCAUAUUAUCCAAAAUAUGUGAAACAUAUAAGCAAGGUUCCUAGACUAUUAUUGUAUUACAUCCAUUGAUUUAGACCCAAUAUUCCUGAUAUAAUUUCACAACCACCUAUUUUGCUAACCUUACCAAUUUCUGAGGGCAAUCCACUCAAUGAA